CAAGGCACGAGAAACGCGCCAAAGCACAAGAAAUGCGUCAAGUCACGAUAAAUGCGCCAAGGCACUCAAAACGAGCCAAGUCUUGAUAAAUGCGCCA
ensembl:ncRNA B0454.14 ncRNA